ACAACUUGCUGGGCUUUUGGAUAAGAUCCCAUGUAGUAUCUGUGCUUAUCAGUUUAAUAUCUUCUACAUUUUCUAUCUAGGUUCCAUAUAUUUAAUUGAUUUUUAUAACAGAUGGAAGAAGAGUUUGCUCUACCCACUCCACUCAUUGAUCUGGUAUAGCGGCACUUCCAGGACUGGCGCAAAAAAG